CGGACGGGUGAGUAACACGUGGAUAACCUACCUAUAAGACUGGGACAACUUCGGGAAACCGGAGCUAAUACCGGAUAAUAUUUUGAACCGCAUGGUUCAAAAGUGAAAGACGGUCUUGCUGUCACUUAUAGAUGGAUCCGCGCUGCAUUAGCUAGUUGGUAAGGUAACGGCUUACCAAGGCAACGAUGCAUAGCCGACCUGAGAGGGUGAUCGGCCACACUGGAACUGAGACACGGUCCAG
rnacentral:rRNA from 1 species